GGGAAUCUACCUAGUUCUACGGAACAACACAGGGAAACUUGUGCUAAUACCGUAUACGCCCUACGGGGGAAAGAUUUAUCGGAAUUAGAUGAGCCCGCGUAAGAUUAGCUAGUUGGUGGGGUAAUGGCCUACCAAGGCGACGAUCUUUAGCUGGUCUGAGAGGAUGAUCAGCCACACUGGGACUGAGACACGGCCCAGACUCCUACGGGAGGCAGCAGUGGGGAAUAUUGGACAAUGGGCGCAAGCCUGAUCCAGCCAUGCCGCGUGAGUGAUGAAGGCCUUAGGGUUGUGAAGCUCUUUCAGUGGGGAAGAUAAUGACGGUACCCACAGAAGAAGCCCCGGCUAACUUCGUGCCAGCAGCCGCGGUAAUACGAAGGGGGCUAGCGUUGUUCGGAUUUACUGGGCGUAAAGCGCACGUAGGCGGUUUGUUAAGUCAGGGGUGAAAUCCCGGAGCUCAACUCCGGAACUGCCUUUGAUACUGGCAAGCUAGAGUCCGGAAGAGGUAAGUGGAACUCCUAGU
rnacentral:rRNA from 1 species